rnacentral:rRNA from 1 species
GACGGAGGGGGCAAGCGUUGUCCGGAAUCACUGGGCGUAAAGGGCGCGUAGGCGGUCUGUUAAGUCCGAUGUUAAAGACUGGGGCUCAACCCCAGCAUUGCGCUGGAUACUGGCAGGCUUGACGGCUGGAGAGGCGAGUGGAAUUACCAGUGUAGCGGUGAAAUGCGUAGAUACUGGUAGGAACACCCAUUGCGAAGGCAGCUCGCUGGACAACACGUGACGCUGGGGCGCGAAAGUGUGGGGAGCAAACCGG